GAUAAACGCUGGCGGCGUGCAUGAGACAUGCAAGUCGAACGAACGACCUCGGGCUUGCCCGGGGAAGUUAGUGGCGAACGGCUGAGUAACGCGUGGGUGACCUGCCCAGAAGUGGGGAAUAACUGCCCGAAAGGGUGGCUAAUACCGCAUGUGGUCAUGAGUUCGCUCUGAUGACCAAAGCCUUCGGGCGCUUCUGGAGGGGCCUGCGUUCGAUUAGCUCGUUGGUGAGGUAACGGCUCACCAAGGCGACGAUCGAUAGGUGGUCUGAGAGGAUGAUCACCCAGACUGGGACUGAGACACGGCCCAGACUCCUACGGGAGGCAGCAGUCGGGAAUUUUGCCCAAUGGGGGAAACCCUGAGGCAGCAACGCCGCGUGAGGGAUGAAGGCCUUCGGGUUGUAAACCUCUUUUCUCAGGGACGAUAAUGACGGUACCUGAGGAAUAAGCCACGGCUAACUACGUGCCAGCCGCCGCCGUAACAC
rnacentral:rRNA from 1 species